rnacentral:rRNA from 1 species
ACGCACGCUGGCGGCGUGCUUCACACCUGCCAGUCGAACGGAAAGGCCCUGCUUUUGUGGGGUGCUCGAGUGGCGAACGGGUGAGUAACACGUGAGUAACCUGCCCUUGACUUUGGGAUAACUUCAGGAAACUGGGGCUAAUACCGGAUAGGAGCUCCUGCUGCAUGGUGGGGGUUGGAAAGUUUCGGCGGUUGGGGAUGGACUCGCGGCUUAUCAGCUUGUUGGUGGGGUAGUGGCUUACCAAGGCUUUGCCGGGUAGCCGGCCUGAGAGGGUGACCGGCCACAUUGGGACUGAGAUACGGCCCAGACUCCUACGGGAGGCAGCAGUGGGGAAUAUUGCACAAUGGGCGGAAGCCUGAUGCAGCAACGCCGCGUGCGGGAUGACGGCCUUCGGGUUGUAACCCGCUUUCGCCUGUGACGAAGCGUGAGUGACGGUAAUGGGUAAAGAAGCACCGGCUAACUACGUG